CCGAUGGAGGGGGAUAACUACUGGAAACGGUAGCUAAUACCGCAUAACGUCGCAAGACCAAAGAGGGGGGACCUUGGGCCUCUUGCCAUCGGAUGUGCCCAGAUGGGAUUAGCUAGUAGGUGGGGUAACGGCUCACCUAGGCGACGAUCCCUAGCUGGUCUGAGAGGAUGACCAGCCACACUGGAACUGAGACACGGCCCAG
rnacentral:rRNA from 1 species